rnacentral:rRNA from 1 species
ACACGAGUUUGAUCCUGGCUCAGGAUGAACGCUAGCGGCAGGCUUAACACAUGCAAGUCGAGGGGUAUAGUAGNAAUACUAGAGACCGGCGCACGGGUGCGUAACGCGUAUGCAACCUACCUUUUACAGAGGGAUAGCCCAGAGAAAUUUGGAUUAAUACCUCAUAGUGUUAUUAGAUGGCAUCAUUUGAUAACUAAAGUUCCAACGGUAAAAGAUGGGCAUGCGUCCUAUUAGUUAGUUGGUAAGGUAACGGCUUACCAAGACAAUGAUGGGUAGGGGUCCUGAGAGGGAGAUCCCCCACACUGGUACUGAGACACGGACCAGACUCCUACGGGAGGCAGCAGUGAGGAAUAUUGGACAAUGGGCGCAAGCCUGAUCCAGCCAUGCCGCGUGCAGGAAGACGGUCCUAUGGAUUGUAAACUGCUUUUAUACAGGAAGAAACACUCCGACGUGUCGGAGCUUGACGGUACUGUAGGAAUAAGGAUCGGCUAACUCCGUG